UCCAUAAUUAUUUGCUAAAUUACUUGCUAUUAAAAGUUAAGCCAUGCAUCUCCCCAUUAUUUACAAUUUUUUUCAUGUUUUUAAGCUGCAAUUUGCCCAACAGAUACGAGCACAAUUUACUCUGGGCUUGCAUAGCACUUAACACGCACUUCCAUGGCGGAUGCCCAAAUUAUUCUUUGCUGCUUCGUGACUGAUUGUUAUGCCUGGGAAAAUGAACUGCAUACAGUGUCUGGGGUCCUUCCAGUCUACGGGUGCUGACGGAGUUGCACUGCUUGAACACUGAAUAACUACAUAGGUAGGAUGUUUCUAGCAAGUACAUCCAUUUCAAGACAAUUUGGUAAAUACAUUUCUUCUGUAUCAUA
rnacentral:lncRNA from 1 species